GAUGAACGCUGGCGGCGUGCUUAACACAUGCAAGUCGAACGAAACACCUUAUUUGAUUUUCUUCGGAACUGAAGAUUUGGUGAUUGAGUGGCGGACGGGUGAGUAACGCGUGGGUAACCUACCCUGUACAGGGGGAUAACAGUCAGAAAUGACUGCUAAUACCGCAUAAGACCACAGCACCGCAUGGUGCAGGGGUAAAAACUCCGGUGGUACAGGAUGGACCCGCGUCUGAUUAGCUGGUUGGUGAGGUAACGGCUCACCAAGGCGACGAUCAGUAGCCGGCUUGAGAGAGUGAACGGCCACAUUGGGACUGAGACACGGCCCAAACUCCUACGGGAGGCAGCAGUGGGGAAUAUUGCACAAUGGGGGAAACCCUGAUGCAGCGACGCCGCGUGAGUGAAGAAGUAUCUCGGUAUGUAAAGCUCUAUCAGCAGGGAAGAAAAUGACGGUACCUGACU
rnacentral:rRNA from 1 species